rnacentral:lncRNA from 1 species
UCCACCACCCGGGGGUGUCGUGCGAGUCGCCGGCGGUAGGAGUGGAUGGAGGAGAGGCUGAGCACGGUGGCGGCAGCGUUCUCCUUCGCCCGCCACUUGGCGCCCUCUGCCAGGACGUGGACGAUCCCGUCGACGGCGCCAUCCGCGUGCAUGAUGAGCCGCUUGUUGGCCUCCAGGAUCGAAAGGUUGAGCAGCGCAGUCACCGCGCUGACCUGGAGCCCAGCGUCGUCCGAUCGGAGCAGCGGGAGGAGGAGGGGAAUCGCACCGGCCUCCGCUACGAAUGCGCGGUUGUCGGAGCCGUGCUUGGCCAGCAGUCGGAGUUCGUGGACCACCCGGUGCGCGGCAUCCGUACACGGCGCCGCCGCGAGCUCCUCCACGAGGAAGGACGCAGUCAUUCUUGCCGCCUCGAGCGCAGCCUUGUUAGCCGCUGCUGUCGUGGCGUUGUCGGCAUCGGCUUGCUCGUUGCUGGUGACGUCGGCUCCGUCGAAGGGAAGGUUGUUGUCGCGGCACCAGCAGCAGAUGAGGUUCUUGAGGGCGCGAUUGGGGACGAGCUCGAGGUGGGCGAGGGCUUGGCCGGACUUGGGGCAGGUGGCAUGGCCGGAGCCGAUCCAUCGAACGAUGGAGUCCCUAUCGUACGUCUGUCCGGUGGCCACCACCAUCGGAUCCCGCAUGAGGUCCAGCGAUAUCGGGCACCGGAAGUCUGCCGGCACCGCGAGGUCCUCCGCCUCGGAGAAGGGCGAUUUCUUGCCGUCGGCACCGGCGGAGGUGUCCAAUCUGGGAGUUGAUGCCCCGAACAGGACGUACCUAGCGUAUCGUAGGAUCGACGCGAGGGCCACCAUGGCCGGCACCCAUCUGUCGGCGGCGGCGCCGUCGGCGAUGUCGCGCUCGAGGCUGUCGAUCUCGUGGCGGCAGUUCCAUGAAUCAUCGAUGCCGAGCCGCCGGAAGAUCCCCUGCAGCGCGGCAUGGUCGGGUACCGUCCCGCUCUCGACGAGUGCGAUGAGCUCGAGAAUAUCUCGGCGGAGGGAGAGGGCAGCGGGAUCGACGGCGGGGGAGGAACGUCGGAGCUGGCGGAGGAGGAGGCGGACGUGGUCCCUCACGUCCUCAGGAAUCCGAAGCUCCGCCACAGGCAGGAUGUCAAGGAAGGUGGCGAGGUCGACAACUUGCUCGUGGAUCUCAGCGGCAAGGGGCUCGGCCCGGAAGAGGACGAAAGCGCGGCUGCGGGCGGAGCAAUGGUCAAAAUGGGCCUUGAGGCGGUGGAGAACGAGAAGAAUCUCGCGGAAGCAAAGCGAAGCCAAUCGCGGGAGGGCAAAGUCAACGCAGCGGUCGUCGUCAUCUCGGACGGCGAGGAGUAGCUCCUCGAAGAGGAGGGAGAGCUGCUUAACGUUGCGGGGGACGGAGGAGAAGUUGGGAUUAACACGAAGGGGGGACGACGACGGCGAAGGUUGUUGGUGGGAGGAGACGUCACGGGAGAGGAAGAGGAGGUGGCGGAGGAGGUCGGCGUCGGUGGACGGGUCGGGUGGCGGAGGAGGGGAGGAGGAGGAGGUGGCCAUGGAAGAAGCUGUCGUGUCCUCGAUUCAAGCGUCGGGAGUCGUAACAGGAAAGGAAGGGGAGUUCGAGGGGUCUAUAUGGUGGUGGUGGUCGUCCGCUGCUGGUGCUGUGCAGUUAUGUCGGCCGGAAUUGCGUGGAAAGCAAGAGGAUGUAUGAGCUGGGGAGGAACAAGUGCGGUCGCCGCC